AGGGGUGUCGGUCAGUGGUAGGCCCUUGGUCUCCAAAACCAAUGACGGAAGUUCGAUUCUUCCCACCCCUG
rnacentral:tRNA from 1 species